rnacentral:pre_miRNA from 1 species
AUCACCUGGAGAUCUUGUUAAAAAUGCAGAUUCUGCUUCAGCAGGUCUGGGGUCAGCCUGAGAUCCUGCAUUUCUAACAAGCUCCCAGGUGAUGCUGU